rnacentral:rRNA from 1 species
AUUGAACGCUGGCGGCAGGCCUAACACAUGCAAGUCGAGCGGAUGACGGGAGCUUGCUCCUUGAUUCAGCGGAGGACGGGUGAGUAAUGCCUAGGAAUCUGCCUGGUAGUGGGGGACAACGUUUCGAAAGGAACGCUAAUACCGCAUACGUCCUACGGGAGAAAGCAGGGGACCUUCGGGCCUUGCGCUAUCAGAUGAGCCUAGGUCGGAUUAGCUUGUUGGUGAGGUAAUGGCUCACCAAGGCGACGAUCCGUAACUGGUCUGAGAGGAUGAUCAGUCACACUGGAACUGAGACACGGUCCAGACUCCUACGGGAGGCAGCAGUGGGGAAUAUUGGACAAUGGGCGAAAGCCUGAUCCAGCCAUGCCGCGUGUGUGAAGAAGGUCUUCGGAUUGUAAAGCACUUUAAGUUGGGAGGAAGGGUUGUAGAUUAAUACUCUGCAAUUUUGACGUUACCGACAGAAUAAGCACCGGCUAACUCUGUG